CCUACGGGAGGCAGCAGUGAGGAAUAUUGGUCAAUGGGCGCGAGCCUGAACCAGCCAAGUCGCGUGAAGGAAGACGGCCCUAUGGAUUGUAAACCUCUUUUGUCGGGGAGCAAAAGACGCCACGCGUGGCGUUCUGAGAGUAUCCGACGAAAAAGCAUCGGCUAACUCCGUGCCAGCAGCCGCGGUAAUACGGAGGAUCCGAGCGUUAUCCGGAUUUAUUGGGUUUAAGGUGUGCGUAGGCGGAUGAUUAAGUUGGCGGUAAAAUUGAAGGGCUCAACCUCUUCUGGCCGUUGUAACUGGUUGUCUUGAGUGAAGGAGAGGUAUGCGGAAUGCGUGGUGUAGCGGUGAAAUGCUUAGAUAUCACGCAGAACUCCGAUUGCGAAGGCAGCAUACCAACGCUCAACUGACGCUCAUGCACGAAAGUGUGGGUAUCGAACAGGAUUAGAUACCCUGGUAGUC
rnacentral:rRNA from 1 species